AGAUUUAUUCGAAGUAAUUGAUCGAAGGGCAAAGCUAGUUGUGAGUGAGUUGUCUGAUGAGCAGUCCAUACAGCCACCAGCUUCCUUUGGUAAAGAAACUCAAGCCAAGAGGGAGAAAUCAAAGGAGAAGGGUUAGUUGACACUCUCCACUGCUGAACCUCCUAAUCCUACAACAAGUGAUCCUGAACAUGAACGAGAGUAGACUAGCAUACAACCAUCUGCAUCAAGUGUGACAUCUGAUAAAGAUGAAGAUGCCCCAUCUGAAAAUGUUACUACCAUGUCCAGUAAUUUUAUAGACCAGAAAAGUACAGAUGUUUUUGGCGAGUUGUGGAAAUUGAAGCCAUUGCUUGAAGAAAGGAAGUGCAAUUAUCAAUAAUCAGAUUUGACACCACUCAUGUAGAAUUUUAAUCAAUUGUGCCUAAAUUUAGGCCUACAAGCACUUCAGCCUUUUGACGCCACUCGUGCUAGGAGUAGACCAUAUAGAGGAUUUGUUAUUUAUUUAUUUAUAUUCAAGACCAUUUUCAAUUUAUUGUAAUAAAUUUAUAUUUUUUU